rnacentral:lncRNA from 1 species
AUAUUAAGGGAGCUACCAUUUGAUUUUUAUGGGGGGGCUAGGAUGAAAUUUGAAAAAAAUAGGCAGGACAGGAGUUUUGAGUAAAAAAAAAAAGGCAGGAUGAGACACUUGCAAAAAAAAAAAGUCUGGACGAUAAUUUAGGUAAAAAAAAAGUCAGGAUAAGGGAGCUACCAUUUGAUUUUUAUGGGGGGGCUAGGAUGAAAUUUGAAAAAAAUAGGCAGGACAGGAGUUUUGAGUAAAAAAAAAAGGCAGGAUGAGACACUUUGCAAAAAAAAAAAGGCAGGAUGACAAUUUAGGUAAAAAAAGUCAGGAUAAACUAAUAAAAAAAAAGGCAGGACCGAAUAGAGUGAAAAAUAAAAAGGCAGGACAGAGAUUACAACUAAAAAAAUGCAGGACAAAAAUUUUCAUCCUAGCCCCCCCAUAAAAAUCAAAUGGUAGCUCCCUAAACUAAAAAAAAAAAGGCAGGACCGAACAGAGUGAAAAAUAAAAAGGCAGGACAGAGAUUACAGCUAAAAAAAAAAUGUAGGACAAAAUUUUUCAUCCUAGCCCCCCCAUAAAAAUCAAAUGGUAGCUC